UACGUAGGGGGCAAGCGUUGUUCGGAAUUACUGGGCGUAAAGGGCGCGUAGGCGGCCCAGCAAGUCGGGAGUGAAAGCCCGGGGCUCAACCCCGGAAUGUCUUUCGAAACUGCUGAGCUAGAGUGCGGAAGAGGCAACUGGAAUUCCCAGUGUAGCGGUGAAAUGCGUAGAUAUUGGGAAGAACACCUGAGGCGAAGGCGGGUUGCUGGGCCGACACUGACGCUGAGGCGCGAAAGCCAGGGGAGCGAACGGG
rnacentral:rRNA from 1 species